rnacentral:rRNA from 1 species
GCUCCAAUAGCGUAUAUUUAAGUUGUUGCAGUUAAAAAGCUCGUAGUUGGAUUUCGGGCGGGUUCCAUCGGUCCGGGGAUUCCUGUGCACUGAUGCGGCCGCCUUCCUGCGGGGAUCGGGCUUCGGUUCGAGUUCCGCGAGGUUACUUUGAGUAAAUUAGAGUGUUCAAGGCAGGCGGUCGCUCUGAAUACGUUAGCAUG